GAGAGGAAAAGCAGAGAGUGAGCCAGGGAAAAGAAAGGACUCUUUCAGCAUUACAGAGGAGCUCUGAGGGGGAUGUGAAACAGAGCCUAGGUGUGUGAGGGCCAGAUCCCCUGAAACACAGAGCAAGAGCAUCAGCAGGGCAGUAAAUACUCUCAGAAAUACUGUGAGUGAGGAGAGAGCAAAACAAAUGGCCACAUUCAGUAUGUCACAAAGGGCAGAUAAUGUCAGGAAUCCUAAGGUCUGCCAUUGAUUGGUUUUGACUACUGUGGAGCUUCUGUGUUAAAUAAUGUAGCAUCUAAGUUUUGUGACCCUGGUGAUAACUGACUGGCUACAAGGAUUUGGGGUGAAAUGAUAGAACAGAAAAAUGAUUCAAUGAGUUAAAAUGGCCUUGGCUUAAUGCUCUAACCAUGGCAAGCUCAGCUAGAGGGAGAGGCACGUACAGGGAUGUCAAGCUCAGACUAGAAGUCAAAGGAAGAGGUUAGCAGUGAGGAGGCUUUGAGACUGGAUCCAGGGUGUGGUAUUAGACUUAGCUCAGGCUUUGUCACCUGAAAAUAUGGAAUAAUAAUUUAGUGAUUAACAUUGUUUGGAACCAAAAAUAAGCAAAGAACUAGCAGUUUCCAGGCAGUAGUGAGUAUCAAAGUUGGGUAAUAACAGUCUUUUGCUUCCAGACAGUCUGUCUAAUUCACAGCACAACUUCUGAGGGCAGAGUGAUCAAAGGCUGAGAUUUGAUUUCCCGUCAAUGACAGGCCAGUAAAACUUAAGAAAACCCCCCUCUCCCUGGCCCCCAUCUCAGCCAAGUGGGCUGGGAUUCACCACUAGGAUUUAAUUCUUGCAAAUGAUUCAAAAUCAAACUCAGGAACAGAAGCAGACACAGAAUCCUACAGACCAACAGAGGAACAAAUGGACUGUAUCUCAGCCACUUGAAAGGAGCUUGGUUUGAGCUCAUUUCCUAGUACCAUGCACCUGGCUUGGUGAAAGAGAAAGGAAUUCAAAUAUUUCCAGCAGAAAUUAUUGAGUGCAAGGAUUUCAAGACUUUGGAAUCUUUGGGGGCAUGCAUUAGUCGGUUUGCCCGGCUGACCAUGAUACCUGACUGAAAGCACUUGAGUGAAGAUUGGGCUCACAUUUCGGAGGAUUUCAGUCCAUCGUGACAGGGAAAGCACAGAGGAGCAGUUCAGAUCAUGGUAGCCAAAGCUACAGUACCCUGGCAGGCCAGACUGCAGACGGAGGGUAUGCUUCAGUUCUAAGGAAAUAGCCACACAAUGGUGCCCAUGAGGGAUCAGAGCUAGAAGAAUUGUUGGGUCCUACACAAAGAAAUGAUGGUCAGAGAGACACAAGCUUGGUUGUGGAAACCUCAGGAAAUUCUAAGCCUAUUUCUUCCAUCAAAAUGAAAGGAACUCAUUGAUGAAAUCGUGAGUCCAUUAAGAUUGAGUGGUACAUCUCCAUUAAGCUAUGAUUUGCAUCAUAAAAACAGAUUAAAAUGAAAAAUGGAAGCACUCUCUUGGAGAAGAAAUGUACAGAAGAAUCUUUGAAGGCUCUCCGAAUGAAGACGGAAUAACACUCCACCAAGCACUGAGAAAACAAGGGACAGAGAAAGAAUCUCAUUAAGAAGCAAAAUGUCACCUGGAAAUCAGAGGGAAAAAGAAGAAAUGAAUCAGUGUAGACUGCCAAAGAGGUGAUAAAAGUUGACCAUCUGUUCCUCAGAUCAUGAAGUCUUCCCUUCAGUUUCCGAAUCUCUAGCAUUUAUAAAAGUGCUGCAGCUACAACAGGCGUCUGCUAAAUCAUGUCCAAUGUGUCUGUACCAACGGGUGGAAAAAAACCAGUAACUUGAACUGUUUAAGGGGGCGGGAUCAGGAUCCGUCGCUGGUGCAUGAGCCAGCUUUUGGAGCCCAGUGCCUAUGGUGGGACACCGUGCACAGCCUUGGUGCAGGGGGAGGGCCUUGGACCUGCCUCAACUGAAUCUACCAGGCUCUGCUGACUCCCCAGGAGAGGCCUCGCC